rfam:Gossypium arboreum cultivar AKA8401 contig_72815_1, whole genome shotgun sequence.
UGUUAAAAAUUUUAUAUAUUUGUAUUGUUAAAAAUUUGCAUGGUUGAUAAAAUAAUUAAACAGUGAUAUAUGACGUGUCACAUGUACAUCAUGCUGCCGUAUAAUGACUAAUUUUUAAAAACAAAAUUGGAUAAUUUUUUUAAUA